rnacentral:rRNA from 3 species
UACGGGGGGGGCAAGCGUUGUUCGGAAUUACUGGGCGUAAAGGGCUCGUAGGCGGCCAACUAAGUCGGACGUGAAAUCCCCAGGCUCAACCUGGGAACUGCGUCCGAUACUGGAUGGCUUGAAUCCGGGAGAGGGAUGCAGAAUUCCAGGUGUAGCGGUGAAAUGCGUAGAUAUCUGGAGGAAUACCGGUGGCGAAGGCGGCAUCCUGGACCGGCAUUGACGCUGAGGAGCGAAAGCCAGGGGAGCAAACGGG